GUUCUCGCUUCAGCAGCACAUAUACUAAAAAUUGGAAUGAUACAGAGAAGAUUACAUGGCCCCUGCGCAAGGAAAAACAACAACAAAAAUUCUAAGGGAUCUUA